rnacentral:ncRNA from 1 species
ACUUUGUUGGGGUAUUUUAACAUGUUGAAAGAUAUGCCCCUCUUACGGGGUUGUUUUCUAUCAUUGAUAAAUACACCCCUCUUAUGGCGUUGUUUUCUCGUAUUAAAAAAUAAACCAUCCGUUGAGAACCAUCCGUUGGUGGAAGACAUUGUCAGGUGGGGAGUUUGGCUGGGGCGACACAUCUGUUAAAAGAUAACGCAGGUGUCCUAAGAUGAGCUCAACGAGAACAAUGAUCUCAUGUGGAACAAAAGGGUAAAAGCUCGUUUGAUUCUGAUUUCCAGUACAAAUACGAACCAUAAAAGCAUGGCCUUUCGAUCCUUUAGACCUUUAGAAUUUGAAGCUAGACGUAUUAGAAAAGUUACCACAGGGAUAACUGGCUUGUGGCAGCCAAACGUGCACAGCGACGUUACCUUUUUAUCCUUCGAUGUCGACUCUUCCUAUCAUUAUGAAGCAGAAUUCACUGAGUGUUGGAUUGUUCACCCACCAAUAGGGAACGUGAACUAGGUUUAGACCGUUGUGAGAUAGGUUAGUU